rnacentral:rRNA from 1 species
AACGAACGCUGGCGGCAUGCCUAACACAUGCAAGUCGAACGAGACCUUCGGGUCUAUUGUCGCACGGGUGCGUAACGCGUGGGAACCUGCCUUUAGGUUCGGAAUAACUCAGAGAAAUUUGAGCUAAUACCGGAUGAUGUCUUCGGACCAAAGAUUUAUCGCCCUUAGAUGGGCCCGCGUUGGAUUAGCUAGUUGGUUGGGUAAAGGCCUACCAAGGCGACGAUCCAUAGCUGGUCUGAGAGAAUGGUCAGCCACACUGGGACUGAGACACGGCCCAGACUCCUACGGGAGGCAGCAGUGGGGAAUAUUGGACAAUGGGCGAAAGCAUGAUCCAGCAAUGACGGGUGAGUGAUGAAGGCAUUAGGGUUGUAAAGCUCUUUUAACCGAGAUGAUAAUGACAGUAUCGGGAGAAUAAGCUCCGGCUAACUCCGUG